GUGAUCUUAGCUUAGGUUUAGCGUUGCCCUCCGAAGGCAAAGGUCACACGUUCGAAUCGUGUCGGGUGCGCCA
rnacentral:tRNA from 1 species